rnacentral:rRNA from 1 species
CCUACGGGAGGCAGCAGUUGGGGAUCUUGCGCAAUGGGCGAAAGCCUGACGCAGCGACGCCGCGUGGAGGAUGACGGCCUUCGGGUUGUAAACUCCUUUUCAGGGGGAAGAAUAAGUCCGGGAGGCAAUGCCCGGGCGAUGACGGUACCCCUGGAAUAAGCCACGGCUAACUCUGUGCCAGCAGCCGCGGUAAGACAGAGGCGGCGAGCGUUACCCGGAUUCACUGGGCGUAAAGGGUGCGUAGGCGGUCGCGCAUGUCGUCGGUAAAAUCCCCCUGCUCAACGGGGAGAGGUCCGACGAAACUGCGCGGCUGGAGGGCCGGAGAGGGAGGCGGAACUUCCAGAGUAGCGGUGGAAUGCGUAGAUACUGGAAGGUACAUCAAUAGCGAAGGCAGCCUCCUGGCCGGUUCCUGACGCUGAGGCACGAAAGCGUGGGGAGCAAACCGGAUUAGAUCCCCGGGUAGU